rnacentral:rRNA from 1 species
UACGGAGGGUGCAAGCGUUAUCCGGAUUCACUGGGUUUAAAGGGUGCGUAGGUGGGCAGGUAAGUCAGUGGUGAAAUCUCCGGGCUUAACCCGGAAACUGCCAUUGAUACUAUCUGUCUUGAAUACCGUGGAGGUGAGCGGAAUAUGUCAUGUAGCGGUGAAAUGCUUAGAUAUGACAUAGAACACCGAUAGCGAAGGCAGCUUGCUACACAAUUAUUGACACUGAGGCACGAAAGCGUGGGGAUCAAACAGG